rnacentral:rRNA from 1 species
UACGGGGGGGGGCAAGCGUUGUUCGGAAUUACUGGGCGUAAAGGGCUCGUAGGUGGCCAACUAAGUCAGACGUGAAAUCCCCAGGCUCAACUUGGGAACUGCGUCUGACACUGGAUGGCUUGAAUUCGGGAGAGGGAUGCAGAAUUCCAGGUGUAGCGGUGAAAUGCGUAGAUAUCUGGAGGAAUACCGGUGGCGAAGGCGGCAUCCUGGACCGAGAUUGACACUGAUGAGCGAAAGCUAGGGGAGCAAAGCGGG